UGAGCCUAACUCUCCUUGCCGCCACUCUCCGUCACCUUCUUCUGUUGACCUCCACCACGUGAACAGAUCAACGAUCACCGCUCCAUGUCAAUCAGACGACGUCGUUUGUCGUUGCAAGCCAAGUCGAAAACGCUUGUCUUUGCGUGUUUGUCCCCUCAAGUUCACAAGUCAUCCAUAAUCUCCCAGCUUCGUCGUCCAUCACCUCAGAGCUUCACCGUCUAACGACUCCAAGCUGCAACCGUUUGCCUCUCCAUUCAAGCUUCGCCUUCAAACGUCGCAAGCCACACAUGUAUUCCUCCAUCCCAUCGUUCGCAUUGAGCAUUACCUUGUGAGCCUCCUUCCUCGAGCCGUGCAAGCCAUUGCCUUCUUCCUUUCCUAGUCAAGCCACUGCCCACUUUUUCUUAAGCCAUCUAGCCAUUUGAGCCAGUAUGAUAUUUUCUUUGGUGAGUUUUGAUUGGGUUUAGGUAUACCCAUAAAAUAUUUAAUUUUGGUCUAAGUAUAUUUAAUUUUGAAUUAAAGAUUAGUUUUCGCUUCUUUGAAUGUCUUUUUCGCAAACUGUGGUUACCUGUAGUUACUAUUUUUUCCUUAUUGUUUAGGACCUAUUAGUAGAAAAUCUUCAACGAUCAACUAAGAAUUAAUUGUUUUAGUUAAUCUCGAGGAAAAAGAUUUUACUACUAGACUUUCGAAUUAAAGAGUUUGCAUGUGUUUAUGGAUUAUGCAUAUGCUAGCUAAGAUUAAGUUGUGUAAAUGUUGACUCAUGUUAUGUGAUGAUUAAACAUGAUUUUUGGAUUUCAUGGUUCAUGAACUGUUAUGUGGACUGUUAUGACGGUUGAUUCAUGUCAUGUUAUGUUGAUUGUUACAUGCUUUUGGACAGUGAUGUGUCUGUUAACUUUGGUCAUUUAGUUUUUUUACCCCACCUAUAUUGUGUUCUUAUUUAUGGGAUCACUCACACGACUAGGGGUGUUCCUAUAGAAUCACUUGGACGAUUAGGGUUGUACCUACGGAUACAUACAUAGUUAGAGAUCAGUUACACUGUACACGUGGUCACUUAGACAACUAGGAGUGUUUUGACGGGAUCACUCACACGAUUAGGGGUGUACCUACAUAUCACAUACAUGUUUAGGAGUGUGUACCUAUGAUCACUCGCACGAGUAGGUUUGUUCUUACGAGACCACUCACAUGAUUAAGGGUGUUUGUACAGUCUCACUCGCCCUGUGUGUACCUAUGAUCACUUGCACGACUAGGGGUAUUCAUAUGGAAUCACUAGCGCAAUUAGAAGUGUUCUUAUGAUUAUGUUUCUAAUGGAAAGUUAACAUAUCACCUAUCUAGUAGUGGACCCUUUACUGAGUAUAUUUUUAUAUACUCACUCUUUUCUAUGAUUAAUAUUUCAGGCAAAGAUAGAGGAUCUGGAAAGCUGGCAAGCGAUGGAAAGGGUCCAUGACAUGCCAUAUGGGUACUUAGUUUUGCUUCCUCAUCUAUGUACCUAUUUUUCAAUAUUUUGUUUUUAGGCAUUUUUUAUUAAAAUUUAUUUUAUUUAAAGAAUUGUUAGAACCCGCGAGUUUCGUUUUUAAAUUGUUUGGUUGGUUUUGUCAAUUGUAUCACUAAAAAGUUCACAAUUCCGACAUUAUGCAUAACGGUGUCGAAAAACAUUUAAAAUUAAAAAAAAUUAAAAAAAUUUAAACUUUUCUCGACGCUGCUAUGCAUGAUGUCAGGAGAAGUUUACAAAAAAAAAAAAAAAAACUUUUCUCGACGUCGUUAGUGAAACGUCAGAAAGGAAAAAUGCUUUUUUAAACGUUUUACUUUGCGGCGUUGGGAAUAGGUGGAUUGCUCGACGACGAGGUGCGUCGGGAGAUCCUAUACAUAUUUGAGUUUUGUAUUCACAGAACACAAAACUCAAAUUGAAAGAAAAAGAGGAAGAUGCCACGAGAGAGGGAGAUCGUCUGUUCGUUGUCUUCCGCUUUGUCCGCCGCCGCAACUCCCUCCGCCUUCGUCUCUUUCGCAACUUCUUGGUUGGAGGUAAUUCAAAGUUCAAAAUCCUAAACAUAAAACCCUUUGAAUUUGUUCUUAAUUUUCUUUUCUAUCAUUGACUUUCUUUUAUUCUAAGUAUCCGAACAUUUCUUAUUGAUUUAUGUUUUUGUUUAUUCAAUAAUAUGAAAUGUGUUGUAAUCGCUCUUUAUGUUCUUGGCAACCAUGGUGAGUUUAGAAGGUAAAAUAUGAUUUUAUUUUUCUUGUUGUUUACUUACUACUUAGUGUGUUUUCGUAGCUUGAAUUUUUGUAUAUGUUUGGUUGCACACAACAGCUGUAAAAGAGGAGGAAGUUGAAGCAAACGAUCAAAUGGAUGGUUACUCAUGUAGGAAGAUGAUGACGAUGGUAAGGUAUUUUUUUAAAAAAUAAAAGAUAUUCCGACACACGAGAUAUAGCGUCGGGAUAUCCUCUCCUAACAGUUUUUUCUCGACUUCGAUCCCGACGUGAACUUAUGGGUCGAGAAAUCCUUUUCCGACAUUUUUGCUAUUUCUCUCGACGCACGACGCUUUUGUGCGUCGAGAAAUCCCCAUUUUCUUGUAGUGUAUGUCUUUCGAACACUUAUUUGAUAUUAAUUUUAUAAAAAAAAUUAGUUUUCCUCCUUUCAAGGAAGUCUUAUGAUAUUUA
rnacentral:lncRNA from 1 species